CCUACGGGAGGCAGCAGUGGGGAAUAUUGCACAAUGGGGGAAACCCUGAUGCAGCGACGCCGCGUGAAGGAUGAAGUAUUUCGGUAUGUAAACUUCUAUCAGCAGGGAAGAAAAUGACGGUACCUGACUCAGCAGCCCCGGCUAACUACGUGCCAGCAGCCGCGGUCAUACGUAGGGGGCAAGCGUUAUCCGGAUUUACUGGGGGGAAAGGGAGCGUAGACGGCAUGGUAAGUCCGAUGUGAAAACCCGGGGCUCAACCCCCGGACUGCAAUGGAAACUGGCGGGCUAGAGUGGAGGAGAGGUAAGCGGAAUUCCUGGUGUAGCGGUGAAAUGCGUAGAUAUCAGGAGGAACACCGACGGCGAAGGCAGCUUACUGGACUGUAACUGACGUUGAGGCUCGAAGGCGUGGGGAGCGAACAGGAUUAGAUACCCCAGUAGUC
rnacentral:rRNA from 1 species